rnacentral:rRNA from 1 species
UACCAGCACCCCGAGUGGUCGGGACGAUUAUUGGGCCUAAAGCAUCCGUAGCCGGCCUUACAAGUCCUCCGUUAAAUCCAGCUGCUUAACAGAUGGGCUGCGGAGGAUACUACAAGGCUAGGAGGCGGAAGAGGCAAGCGGUACUCAGUGGGUAGGGGUAAAAUCCUCUGAUCCAUUGAAGACCACCAGUGGCGAAGGCGGCUUGCCAAUACGCGCUCGACGGUGAGGGAUGAAAGCUGGGGGAGCAAACCGG